rnacentral:rRNA from 1 species
UACGAAGGGGGCUAGCGUUGCUCGGAAUCACUGGGCGUAAAGGGUGCGUAGGCGGGUCUUUAAGUCCGGGGUGAAAUCCUGGAGCUCAACUCCAGAACUGCCUUUGAUACUGAGAGUCUCGAGUCCGGGAGAGGUGAGUGGAACUGCGAGUGUAGAGGUGAAAUUCGUAGAUAUUCGCAAGAACACCAGUGGCGAAGGCGGCUCACUGGCCCGGUACUGACGCUGAGGUGCGAAAGCGUGGGGAGCAAACAGG